rnacentral:misc_RNA from 1 species
AUGUUACCGAAUAAUCAAUGGCAAAUACCUAUAAACAAUGGAUUAACACAUCAGGAAAAUAUGGCAGCACACGCAGCCGUCAUGAAAUUGAGAGUACACGAUCUUCAGUCGAUUAUCUCGCAAUUGUCACUUCGAAAGCCACGUCCACAAAAAUCGGAGCAUCAGAAGGUCGUCGUUGAAUCCUUGCGUGAUCCUCAUCAUGCUCGGCAAAUUUAUCAAAUGGCUUCCAAUUUCCCGAACGGAAAUUAUGAGGUAAGUAUGAAAAAAAAGUCCUGUUAUCAAAACUCCAAAAAAACGGCUAGGUUUAUCAAUAUAUAUCAUUUCUUCGCAAGCACCUCUCCUGAUGACAUGUGCGCUCUAUUGAGAAACAAACGUUCAAAAAAUCUCUUCCGCUUUGUUUUUUAUUCCCAAAUGUAUUUUUGCAAAUGUUCUAAUUGUCUAAAAUAUUCCACAUAUUUAAAGUUAGAGCCUAAAAAAUUAUGCAGAAGCGACCUGCAACAACAUCCCAAGUUCGGUCUCAUCCAUAUGUGCUGCCAUCUCGAUCUGGAGCUAGUAAUCACUUGGUCAAUCAUCAUUAUCAGCAGCAACAACAACAACAACCACAGCCUCACAAUCUACUUCAUCAACAAAUGAUGGCGUCACAUCAUUCACAUCUGCAACAGCAGCACCAUCCGUCGACGCCGAAAAAAAUGUAUGCUGAUAAUUUUGAACCGCUUCCACUUCCAUUCUACGAUGUUAUUUCUGUUUUGCUGAAGCCUGUCGAGCUGCAUUCAUCAGACAGUCCAACUUUGAAGCAAACAAAACAGUUACAAUUCCCGUUCUUAUUGACUGCUGAGCACAUCUCCAAGAUUUCGUAUCGAGCUGAUGUUACACCUCUUCCACGAUAUGAAUUGCAGUUGAGGUUCUUCAAUCUUACUGAACCAGUUCAGGGUCCUCAAAAAGACGACUUUCCACUCAAUUGCUACGCACGUGUUGAUGAUUCUGUCGUUCAAUUGCCGAAUGUAAUCCCAACAAAUAAGACAAAUGCUGAGCCGAAACGACCAUCUCGUCCAGUGAAUAUCACUUCAAACAUGAAUAGAUACAAGAAAGAGCACACAGUUGCAGUCGAAUGGUUAGCCGACAAACGUGUAUGGGCAGCUGGAGUUUAUUUCGUUCAUCGUGUUAACUCGGAUAUUCUCUUUAAACGUCUUAAUCAGAAUGUAUCAAGACAUCGAUCACUUGAGGUUACCAAGCAAGAAGUGAUCAAGAAACUGUCUGGAGGUGAAGAUGAUAUUGCUAUGGAUCGUCUUAAUAUCAGUCUUCUUGAUCCACUGUGCAAGACAAGAAUGACAACGCCUUCUAGAUGCCAAGAUUGUACCCAUUUGCAAUGUUUUGAUCUCCUCUCAUAUUUGAUGAUGAACGAGAAGAAACCAACGUGGCAGUGCCCUGUUUGCUCGAGUAACUGCCCAUAUGAUAGACUUAUUGUUGAUGAUUAUUUCCUCGAUAUGCUUGCAAAGGUGGAUAAGAAUACGACGGAAGUUGAACUUAAGGAAGAUGGCUCGUACGAUGUUAUCAAGGAAGAAGCUUUUUGCAUCUCAGAUGAUGACGACGAUGACGUUGUACCUGCUACUGUUAACGGUACAGCGUCAUGCUCUUCGACAAAUGGCAAUGGACUUGCAAAUGAAGCAGCGAAGAAAAAACCAGCUGACGACGACAUAAUUACCUUGAGUGAUGACGAUGAUGAGGAAUUGAACAGAGGUAUAAUGAACUCUCUGAACGACAGCUUCUCUCCUGGCAGACACACAGCUUCCGCAGAAUUGGCUGCUCAAAAGACACCACCACAGCAGAAAAAGAAGACGAAAGACGAUGACAUAGAGAUUAUUACUCUCGAUGAUACACCACCUCGUCCAGUAGCUGCAAGUGCAAAUCUUCCAAUGCGUCAGAUGUCUCAACAGAAUCAAAUGCCAGUUGGCUCAUCUCCAUCUGGAAUGGCCUCAACGCAAAUGGGAAUGAACGAGGGUGCAAGUAAAACUAUCCGGGAUGCGCUGAACAAAAUAGGAGAACCAAUGAUAAACCAGGCACCACACUUCCAAAUGCAAAACGGGCUCAUAGGGCGAAACAAUCAAAUGGUUCAUAUGCAGCAGCACCAUCUUCAGCAGCAACAACAGCAGCAGCAGUCACCACAAAUCAUGUCUCCGUCUUUUUAUGCUCAACAGCAAAUGUCAAACGGUGACACCAAUAACAUCCAACCACCACGAAUUCUUUCCAUGGCUGAAAUACAAGCAAAUGCAUCUCGACUUUUGGUAAAUGGACACCUGAUGAUCGAUCACUCAGGAGUCACUAUGCGCAAUCCACGUGGCUCACGGAAUUAA